UUAAAAUUCUUCCUACAUUGCUCAAAAAUGAGGAAAAUUUUACAUUUUCUCAAACAGGGUAAGGAACUUGGUUCCUCGAAUAACUUCUGGUACAGACAUCUGAGGGCAUGGCUGUCCAAGAAGAAAAUGUAGCCAUUGGUGCCAUCUAUCGACCACAAGUUAAAGUUUGGCGAUCCGUUGGAUACCGACCGAGUUAUAGGCAAAACUUGGUGCAAAAAUGAAGAAAAUUUUACAUUUUCUCAAACAGGGUAAGGAACUUGGUUCCUCGAAUAACUUCUGGCACAGACAUCUAAGGGCAUGGCUGUCCAAGAAGAAAAUGUAGCCAUUGGUGCCAUCUAUCGACCACAGGUUAAAGAUAGGCGAUUCGUUGGAUACCGACCGAGUUAUAGGCAAAAUUUGGUGCAAAAAUGAGGAAAAUUUUACAUUUUCUCAAACAGGGUAAGGAACUUGGUUUCUCGAAUAACUUCUGGCACAGACAUCUGAGGGCAUGGCUGUCCAAGAAGAAAAUGUAGCCAUUGGUGCCAUCUAUCGACCACAGGUUAAAGAUAGGCGAUUCGUUGGAUACCGACCGAGUUAUAGGCAAAAUUUGGUGCAAAAAUGAGGAAAAUUUUCAUUACUUUUUUUGAAUUUUUUGAUUUUUUUUAUUAUUUUUCACUCUUUUUUUUUAUUUCAAGCAUUAUUAGAGUGAAAAGAAACUCAUUGCAACCCAUUGGCAUUAAAAUAAAACAAUUUAAUUUUUUUUGCAAAAUUUCCCAAAAAAAUCGUAAGGGGUAAGCCUUAUGAAAUUUUCGAGUGGAAAAUUUUUUUGAAUUUUUUUUCUGAUUUUUUAUUCUUUUUUUAAUUUAAAGCACUAUUUAAGUGAAAAGAAACUUAUUGCAACAAAUUCCCAUCAAAAUAUAUCACAUUUAAAAUUCUUGCUACAUUGCUCAAAAAUGAGGAAAAUUUUACAUUUUCUCAAACAGGGUAAGGAACUUGGUUCCUCGAAUAACUUCUGGCACAGACAUCUAAGGGCAUGGCUGUCCAAGAAGAAAAUGUAGCCAUUGGUGCCAUCUAUCGACCACAAGUUAAAGUUUGGCGAUCCGUUGGAUACCGACCGAGUUAUAGGCAAAACUUGGUGCAAAAAUGAGGAAAAUUUUACAUUUUCUCAAACAGGGUAAGGAACUUGGUUCCUCGAAUAACUUCUGGCACAGACAUCUGAGGGCAUGGCUGUCCAAGAAGAAAAUGUAGCCAUUGGUGCCAUCUAUCGACCACAAGUUAAAGUUUGGCGAUCCGUUGGAUACCGACCGAGUUAUAGGCAAAACUUGGUGCAAAAAUGAGGAAAAUUUUACAUUUUCUCAAACAGGGUAAGGAACUUGGUUCCUCGAAUAACUUCUGGCACAGACAUCUGAGAGCAUGGCUGUCCAAGAAGAAAAUGUAGCCAUUGGUGCCAUCUAUCGACCACAGGUUAAAGUUUGGCGAUCCGUUGGAUACCGACCGAGUUAUAGGCAAAACUUGGUGCAAAAAUGAGGAAAAUUUUACAUUUUCUCAAACAGGGUAAGGAACUUGGUUCCUCGAAUAACUUCUGGCACAGACAUCUGAGGGCAUGGCUGUCCAAGAAGAAAAUGUAGCCAUUGGUGCCAUCUAUCGACCACAGGUUAAAGAUUAGCGAUUCGUUGGAUACCGACCGAGUUAUAGGCAAAAUUUGGUGCAAAAAUGAGGAAAAUUUUCAUUAUUUUUUUUGAAUUUUUUGAUUUUUUUAUUAUUUUUCAGUCUUUUUUUUAUUUCAAGCAUUAUUAGAGUGAAAAGAAACUCAUUGCAACCCAUUGGCAUUAAAAUAAAACAAUUUAAUUUUUUUUUGCAAAAUUUCCCAAAAAAAUCGUAAG